AUUGAACGCUGGCGGCAUGCCUUACACAUGCAAGUCGAACGGCAGCGCGGGGCAACCUGGCGGCGAGUGGCGAACGGGUGAGUAAUAUAUCGGAACGUGCCCUGGAGUGGGGAUAACGUAGCGAAAGUUACGCUAAUACCGCAUACGAUCCAAGGAUGAAAGCAGGGGACCUUCGGGCCUUGUGCUCCUGGAGCGGCCGAUAUCUGAUUAGCUAGUUGGUGGGGUAAAAGCCUACCAAGGCGACGAUCAGUAGCUGGUCUGAGAGGACGACCAGCCACACUGGAACUGAGACACGGUCCAGACUCCUACGGGAGGCAGCAGUGGGGAAUUUUGGACAAUGGGCGCAAGCCUGAUCCAGCCAUUCCGCGUGCAGGAUGAAGGCC
rnacentral:rRNA from 1 species